rnacentral:rRNA from 1 species
UACGGAGGGUGCAAACGUUGCUCGGAAUCAUUGGGCGUAAAGCGUGCGUAGGCGGCUCAUCAAGUCGGAUGUGAAAGCCCUCGGCUCAACCGAGGAAGUGCAUUCGAAACUAGUGAGCUUGAGUAUCGGAGAGGGUGACGGAAUUCCCGGUGUAGAGGUGAAAUUCGUAGAUAUCGGGAGGAACACCUGUGGCGAAGGCGGUCACCUGGACGAAAACUGACGCUGAGGCACGAAAGCGUGGGGAGCAAACAGG